rnacentral:rRNA from 1 species
AUUGAACGCUGGCGGCAUGCCUUACACAUGCAAGUCGAACGGUAACAGGUCUUCGGAUGCUGACGAGUGGCGAACGGGUGAGUAAUACAUCGGAACGUGCCCGAUCGUGGGGGAUAACGAGGCGAAAGCUUUGCUAAUACCGCAUACGAUCUACGGAUGAAAGCGGGGGAUCGUCGGACCUCGCGCGGACGGAGCGGCCGAUGGCAGAUUAGGUAGUUGGUGGGAUAAAAGCUUACCAAGCCGACGAUCUGUAGCUGGUCUGAGAGGAUGAUCAGCCACACUGGGACUGAGACACGGCCCAGACUCCUACGGGAGGCAGCAGUGGGGAAUUUUGGACAAUGGGCGAAAGCCUGAUCCAGCCAUGCCGCGUGCAGGAUGAAGGCCUUCGGGUUGUAAACUGCUUUUGUACGGAACGAAAAGCCUCUUUCUAAUAAAGAGGGGUCAUGACGGUACCGUAAGAAUAAGCACCGGCUAACUACGUG